rfam:Hydrogenibacillus schlegelii strain DSM 2000 scaffold28, whole genome shotgun sequence.
GGGGGCGUUCUGGGUUCGACGGGGGUCGAUCGUGCAACCGUAGCGAGCCGGGGGGCCGCGUCCCCGCAACAACGCGGACGGCCAAUAAGUGCCAACAAGAACGAACUCGCUUUAGCCGCUUAAUCCGGCUAACCUCGCCCGUCGGAUCGCCCGCGUCUGACGGAGCGGGGCCAGCUUAGCGGGCUACGCGGCCGGCCUUUCGCCCGGAGGCCGCCGAAGAGACCGAAUCGGGCAGGCCUCAGGACGAUCCGGCUCAGGGGAGCGCCUGCGGCGUCACAAAACCUGAGCUGCGCUCGGAGAAGCGGUUGCGGCGAGGCCUUCGGACGGGGGUUCGAUUCCCCCCGCCUCCACCA